UUUUAAUAUGAUGAAUAUUCUAGGUAGAGAAUAUGGAUAGUAUUAUCAUUAUUAGUAUUACGUCAACAUUAACUCAACAAUUGUAUUGUUGACAUGAAGAAAAAGCUAUUUCGAGGUUGUUUUGACCAUUGAUUGCUAAUAACACCUGGCGCCGUGACCUGGAUGCAGAUUCUAAGCAGAUGAGCCAAAAUGGGGGCAGCUAGAGAGACUCGCCUGGAACUGACAAGCCUGGAGGGAGCUGGUUGACUGUUGGCGAGAUGGGACAACAGACGAAGAAUAAACGAACCUACUUGAUUUGAUAAACAUUUUUAUGUUUUUCAGUUUCGUCGGAAGACAUUUUCCACCAACCAUCCUGUCUUGAAAGAAAUAACUUUUGAACCCGAUUAUCUGGUAAUACUAUUUUUUUUACAUACAGUUAUUAGUGAAUUAUG